GACGAACGCUGGCGGCGUGCUUAACACAUGCAAGUCGAACGGAAAGGCCCUGCUUUUGUGGGGUGCUCGAGUGGCGAACGGGUGAGUAACACGUGAGUAACCUGCCCUUGACUUUGGGAUAACUUCAGGAAACUGGGGCUAAUACCGGAUAGGAGCUCCUGCUGCAUGGUGGGGGUUGGAAAGUUUCGGCGGUUGGGGAUGGACUCGCGGCUUAUCAGCUUGUUGGUGGGGUAGUGGCUUACCAAGGCUCUGACGGGUAGCCGGCCUGAGAGGGUGGCCGGCCACAUUGGGACUGAGAUACGGCCCAGACUCCUACGGGAGGCAGCAGUGGGGAAUAUUGCACAAUGGGCGGAAGCCUGAUGCAGCAACGCCGCGUGCGGGAUGACGGCCUUCGGGUUGUAAACCGCUUUCGCCUGUGACGAAGCGUGAGUGACGGUAAUGGGUAAAGAAGCACCGGCUAACUACGUG
rnacentral:rRNA from 1 species